UCCUAAAUUUAAGCUUGAAUUUGAAUUGUUAUAGAUUGAAUUGUUGAUUAAGUUAAUGGGUAUGUGAAUUGUGUGAGAAAGUUUGAAUUUCUAUGAUAAUUUUCAUGUUAGAGUAGCUUGGUUCAUGAAAUGAGAUAAUUAGAGAAUUGUUGUUGAAGAUCAUUGUUAAUGGUUUGUUGUUGAUGUAAGAAAGAUGAGUUGGUGAUCAAAAUGGUGUAUUAUUGUUAAAGGUGAUUGUACUCGAACCUUAUGAAAAUUGGGUAAAACUUUGUAUGGCAUAUUGGUAGUAUAUUCGUCAUAUCUCUUUCUGUGUAAUCUGGAAUUAAGUAAUUGUUGAAGUUUCGGAUUCUACACUUAUUUCCCUUCAGUUCGGAUAUAAACUUUGCAUGAUUCGGAUUAAGAAUGGACUCAGAAAACGCAUUUAAAGUUUGUAAAAUUCUGCUGAAAUUUACUUACUGGUUUGACGUAGAUUUUUCUGAAAUAAGCUAAAACGUGAAUCUAAGUUGGGUGAAUGACUCCAGAACUUAAUAUGUAUGUUCAAAGGGCUGAAUAAGUGUUUGUUUUCAAGUUGAAAUACAGAAAGUUAAAAGCAGAAAAGAUAACCCCAAAUCAGCCGUUUUGCAGAAGCGUGAUUCAGAAGCUGACAGAAGUUAUUUGAGACCUAAAUGGUGUAGAGAAUUCAGGAAAAUGCUAAGAUAUUCAGGUUACUAGACAACAUCAUGGUUCGUGAUGAAGAAGCAGAAGUCGUUGGAAGUUCACGUCAGUAGUGUUAUUUUAGAGACUAAUGGAGGAGGCAAGGGAGGAAAUCCAACAAAAUAUGUCGUCACAAAAGUAGUGAGCAAGGCGGAGGGAGGUGAGGUUAGGGAAUCUUUGGAAGAGUCAACUGAGGCAAAGGCAGGUUGGGUCACAGAUAGUUAUUGAGAAUCGAAGACGGUUGGUGAUCGACAGGAACUGCUUUAUGACGGCAGAGAAAGACGUUAAGGAGCUGUUGUUGUGUUUGUUGCCGUUGUUGAGGAAUCUGACGACACAUUCCCAACACUGAUCAG